GCAUAUCAAUAAGCGGAGGAAAAGAAACCAACCGGGAUUGCCUCAGUAACGGCGAGUGAAGCGGCAAGAGCUCAAAUUUGAAAGCUGGCUCCUUCGGAGUCCGCAUUGUAAUUUGCAGAGGAUGCUUUGGGUGCGGCCCCCGUCUAAGUGCCCUGGAACGGGCCGUCAGAGAGGGUGAGAAUCCCGUCUUGGGCGGGGUGUCCGUGCCCGUGUAAAGCUCCUUCGACGAGUCGAGUUGUUUGGGAAUGCAGCUCUAAAUGGGUGGUAAAUUUCAUCUAAAGCUAAAUACUGGCCGGAGACCGAUAGCGCACAAGUAGAGUGAUCGAAAGAUGAAAAGCACUUUGAAAAGAGAGUUAAACAGCACGUGAAAUUGUUGAAAGGGAAGCGCUUGCGACCAGACUCGCCCGCGGGGUUCAGCCGGCAUUCGUGCCGGUGUACUUCCCCGUGGGCGGGCCAGCGUCGGUUUGGGCGGCCGGUCAAAGGCCCCUGGAAUGUAGUACCCUCCGGGGUACCUUAUAGCCAGGGGUGCAAUGCGGCCAGCCUGGACCGAGGAACGCGCUUCGGCACGGACGCUGGCAUAAUGGUCGUAAACGACCCGUCUUGAAACACGGACCAAGGAGUCUAACAUCUACGCGAGUGUUCGGGUGUCAAACCCGUGCGCGCAGUGAAAGCGAACGGAGGUGGGAGCCCCCUCGCGGGGCGCACCAUCGACCGAUCCUGAUGUCUUCGGAUGGAUUUGAGUAAGAGCGUAAAUGUGGGGACCCGAAAGAUGGUGAACUAUGCCUGAAUAGGGCGAAGCCAGAGGAAACUCUGGUGGAGGCUCGCAGCGGUUCUGACGUGCAAAUCGAUCGUCAAAUUUGGGUAUAGGGGCGAAAGACUAAUCGAACCAUCUAGUA
rnacentral:rRNA from 1 species